rnacentral:rRNA from 1 species
UCCUGUACUGCGUUUAAUCGUUAUGAGCGAAGGAGGGACGCAGGAGGCUAAGCACGCAUGGCGCCGGAAGCCAUGUUUAAGCGUCAAGCCAGAGAGUGAGUCAAAUGCUUGCUCUUGAUGAAGGCAAGGCGCGACGAGGAGCGAACUAAAGUAGCGAAGGUGCUGAUGUCACACUGCCAAGAAAAGCUUCUAGCCAGAGAGAACGUACCCGUACCGCAAACCGACACAG